AGCAGUCGCCGCGGUAUACGUAGGUGGCAAGCGUUGUCCGGAAUUAUUGGGCGUAAAGGGCUCGCAGGCGGUUUCUUAAGUCUGAUGUGAAAGCCCCCGGCUCAACCGGGGAGGGUCAUUGGAAACUGGGAAACUUGAGUGCAGAAGAGGAGAGUGGAAUUCCACGUGUAGCGGUGAAAUGCGUAGAGAUGUGGAGGAACACCAGUGGCGAAGGCGACUCUCUGGUCCGUAACUGACGCUGAGGAGCGAAAGCGUGGGGAGCGAACAGGAUUAGAUACCCCCGUAGUCCCUGUCUCUUAUACA
rnacentral:rRNA from 1 species